rnacentral:rRNA from 1 species
GGUUAAGCGACUAAGCGUACACGGUGGAUGCCCUGGCAGUCAGAGGCGAUGAAGGACGUGCUAAUCUGCGAUAAGCGUCGGUAAGGUGAUAUGAACCGUUAUAACCGGCGAUUUCCGAAUGGGGAAACCCAGUGUGUUUCGACACACUAUCAUUAACUGAAUCCAUAGGUUAAUGAGGCGAACCGGGGGAACUGAAACAUCUAAGUACCCCGAGGAAAAGAAAUCAACCGAGAUUCCCCCAGUAGCGGCGAGCGAACGGGGAGGAGCCCAGAGCCUGAAUCAGUGUGUGUGUUAGUGGAAGCGUCUGGAAAGGCGCGCGAUACAGGGUGACAGCCCCGUACACAAAAAUGCACAUGCUGUGAGCUCGAUGAGUAGGGCGGGACACGUGGUAUCCUGUCUGAAUAUGGGGGGACCAUCCUCCAAGGCUAAAUACUCCUGACUGACCGAUAGUGAACCAGUACCGUGAGGGAAAGGCGAAAAGAACCCCGGCGAGGGGAGUGAAAAAGAACCUGAAACCGUGUACGUACAAGCAGUGGGAGCACAGAGCAAUCUGUGUGACUGCGUACCUUUUGUAUAAUGGGUCAGCGACUUAUAUUCUGUAGCAAGGUUAACCGAAUAGGGGAGCCGAAGGGAAACCGAGUCUUAACUGGGCGUUAAGUUGCAGGGUAUAGACCCGAAACCCGGUGAUCUAGCCAUGGGCAGGUUGAAGGUUGGGUAACACUAACUGGAGGACCGAACCGACUAAUGUUGAAAAAUUAGCGGAUGACUUGUGGCUGGGGGUGAAAGGCCAAUCAAACCGGGAGAUAGCUGGUUCUCCCCGAAAGCUAUUUAGGUAGCGCCUCGUGAAUUCAUCUCCGGGGGUAGAGCACUGUUUCGGCAAGGGGGUCAUCCCGACUUACCAACCCGAUGCAAACUGCGAAUACCGGAGAAUGUUAUCACGGGAGACACACGGCGGGUGCUAACGUCCGUCGUGAAGAGGGAAACAACCCAGACCGCCAGCUAAGGUCCCAAAGUCAUGGUUAAGUGGGAAACGAUGUGGGAAGGCCCAGACAGCCAGGAUGUUGGCUUAGAAGCAGCCAUCAUUUAAAGAAAGCGUAAUAGCUCACUGGUCGAGUCGGCCUGCGCGGAAGAUGUAACGGGGCUAAACCAUGCACCG